rnacentral:rRNA from 1 species
AUGAUGAGCGCCAAGCUCGGCGCGGCGACGCCGUCCGUGCUCCUCCCGCCCUCCCCUCGGCCCCACGGCCUCCGCCCCUCCCCCACCGCCGCCUCAUGCCUCCCCGACACCGCCACCGGCCCGCCUCUAAGCGCGGGACCGGACCAAGAGCUCUCUGGCGCGCCCGGGCAAGAGGAGGCGGCGGUCUCCUCCGCCUCCCAGCCGCGCUCGCGCGCGAGCUCGCAGCUGAGCCGCUGGUCCCGCGCGCGCGCGCUCCGGUCCGGGCGGAGGCUGGAGCUGCCGGCCAUGCGGGCGACCGCGGCGCUCUCGGUGCGGACCAAGUCGCCGCCGUCAUCCGAGGAAGAGGCCGCGGCGAUGGAGGAGGAGGACGAUGAUGGUGACGAGGUGGUCGGGGUCGGGAGCGAGGCAGCGGGGAACUCGAUCUACAUGGUGUCGGACGGGACGGGUUCGACGUUGGAGCACUCGGUGAAUGCCGUGCUCGGGCAAUUCGAGCACUGCCUCGUGGACCGACGCUGCGCCACAAGCACCCACCUAUUCUCGGGGAUUGAUGACAUGGAUAACCUUAUUGAGAUAGUAAGGCAAGCAGCAAAAGAAGGAGCAUUGCUUCUAUAUACCCUUGCCGAUCCUUCAAUGGCUGAGGCAACUAAGAAGGCUUGUGAUUUAUGGGGUGUUCCAUCCACCGAUGUUCUUCGUCCUACUAUUGAUGCCAUAGCUUCUCAUAUUGGUGUUGCUCCAUCUGGGAUUUCACGAAGCUCUGCUAGCCGAAAGGGUCAACUUUCUGAGGAUUACUUCCAACGAAUUGAAGCGAUUGAUUUUACAAUCAAACAAGAUGAUGGUGCUCAGCCACAGAACCUUGCCCGUGCACACAUUGUGCUUGUUGGUGUUUCACGUACUGGGAAAACACCAUUGUCAAUUUAUCUAGCACAAAAAGGGUACAAAGUGGCAAACGUCCCAAUUGUGAUGGGUAUUGAUCUUCCAAAGGCCCUAUUUGAGAUCGACCAGGAUAAGAUCUUUGGGUUGACGAUAAACCCCGUGGUUCUUCAGGCAAUCAGAAAGACGAGAGCAAGCACUCUAGGAUUUCAUGGGCAGAAGAGCAAUUAUGCUGAAAUGGAGCAUGUGAGGCAGGAGCUCGACCAUGCAAAUCAAAUUUUUGUUCGGCACCCAACAUGGCCAGUGAUCCAGGUCACUGGAAAAGCCGUAGAGGAAACAGCUGCUGUCAUUGUUAGAAUAUAUCAUGACAGGAAACAGAAGUGCUCCAUGCCACGCAUAUCAAAACGGGUGGCUCCAAUUCGAGUCUAUGAUUCUCUGUCAGAGAAGGUCAACACUCCUGUUGAACCUGAAAAAGUAUUGGCCAUGGACGUAUGA